UAGGGAAUCUUCCGCAAUGGACGCAAGUCUGACGGAGCAACGCCGCGUGAGUGAAGAAGGAUUUCGGUUCGUAAAACUCUGUUGUUAGAGAAGAACAGCGCAUAGAGUAACUGUUAUGCGUGUGACGGUAUCUAACCAGAAAGCCACGGCUAACUACGUGCCAGCAGCCGCGGUAAUACGUAGGUGGCAAGCGUUGUCCGGAUUUAUUGGGCGUAAAGCGAGCGCAGGCGGUCAAUUAAGUCUGAUGUGAAAGCCCCCGGCUCAACCGGGGAGGGUCAUUGGAAACUGGUUGACUUGAGUGCAGAAGAGGAGAGUGGAAUUCCAUAUGUAGCGGUGAAAUGCGUAGAUAUAUGGAGGAACACCAGUGGCGAAGGCGACUCUCUGGUCUGUAACUGACGCUGAGGUUCGAAAGCGUGGGUAGCAAACAGG
rnacentral:rRNA from 1 species